GGCUACUUUUAAAUAAAAAGUACGAUGCUACUUGAAAAUGGCAUUAGUAGCCAAAACAAUCAUGUCGUGACGAAAUAAUUUAAAAAGGAUAAUCUGAUUUAUAUUUUUUUAUUUAUAUGGUAUUUAGAGUUCAGCUCUUGAAGUGGCCACCCUUACAAUGGGAGUAGCAGACGCAUGGAGCUUAACUUAUCUUGUCGAUAGCUUGCUUAUCAGUGCAACCACGAAACCAAAUCGCUUCUCAAGACCCUGCUAAUAAAUAAAUCUAGAAUUAAUCUGAUAUGAGCAGUUAGAUAUGACUACAACGGUCAGUCAACCAUUUUCUGGAAACUUAAUAUUUUAUUGGAAAUUCUCUGAAUUUGCGUUUGUGAUUCACGACAUUUUUUACUGACGUCUGAAAAACACUAUUUGUGUCCGAAAACGUGCAUCCAGCUACUAUUGAUCUGUUGUACUCUAUUUUUAGCACUUGAAUUAAGUCUUGGAUUAUUAAAGUAGCAAAUUCUCAUUUUAUAUGAGUCUUGACCUCCAACUAUCAUAAUCUGUAUAAUUCAGGAUGUUUCAACAAGAAUUUACCAGUUAGGAUGAUUUAUAAAUAUUUAUUCAGAAGAGCUAUAGAUCUGGUAAAGAUAUACAUCUGAUAAAAGGUAAAGAAAAGGUGAAGAUCUUUAUGUAGCUCUGUUGUAAAAGAAAACUCCUCAGGUUUUGUCUUGAAAAUGGCUGCCUUCGCUGGACCCGAAAAGAAAGUGUCAUUUUUCUUCUCCAAAAAAAGAAAUGUCAGUGCUAAUUUAUCUGUAUGUUUUGCAUGAGCUUUCGAAACUACAGUUUGAUAAGGUUGUCCAACAAAAAAAUAAUGCUCACUUCAUGCAAGAUUUUUUUCAAAUUAAAAAAUUUAUUGAAAAUAAAUUCAGAUUCAACUAGUACACUAUCUACACUGGUGUAGAUUCUAAAUAGAACCCAGACCAGAAUCAUUUCUUAAUUCAAAUUAAGGAAAUUAUUUUUUCUCAAUAUCAAAGAUACUGAAUAGAAAUAUUUCCAGUAAUUUUUAAUGAAUAAUUUUUUUUCAAAUUCAAAAAUUUAUUGAAAAUAAAUUCAAAUUCAUAAUUAUCUACACUGGUGUAGAUUAUGAAUAGAAAUAUUCUCAGAAUCACUCCUUAUUUCAAAUCAAGGAAAUUAUUUUUUCUCAAUAGGAUACUGAAUAGAAAUAUUUCCAGAAAUGUUUAAUGAAUAGAUAUUUUCCUUGUCAUGAAAUUCUAGUUUUGUAAAUUAUAGCUCAGCUGAAUGUUUGGCUGUAACUGUAACUACAUUCAUGUUAUAGAUUCUGAAGAGAAAUAUAAUUAUUCAGAAUUAUUUGUUAUUUGGCUUAGUGGUUUUGUGUUUUGUUUCGGUUUUGUAUAAUGAUUGGACUUUUUAACAUCAAAAUGAACUUUAUUCCGAAGUGUAAAGUGUAAAUUUAAAGUAUUGUGCUCACUGUAACCUUAGUGUCCGGUUUCCCAUUUGGGAACUUAGAUUAUUCCAAUAGAUCCGAAAGUUUCUUUUUUUCCUCCUUCUUGUAUAAUAAUAUGAGAAAUUGAUCCAAAUCCUGGAAGAAUAAGGAUGUAAACUUCUGGGUGACCGAAGAAUCAGAAUAAAUGUUGGUAGAGGAUUGGGUCUCCACCCCCGGUGGGGUCGAUAGAUCCCAAUAGAUGAUCUAUUUAUUCCAAUAGAUCCGAAAGUUUCUUUUUUUCCUCUUUCUUGUAUAAUAAUAUGAGAAAUUAAUCCAAAUCCUGGAAGAAUAAGGAUGUAAACUUCUGGGUGACCGAAGAAUCAGAAUAAAUGUUGGUAGAGGAUUGGGUCUCCACCCCCGGUGGGAUCAAAAAAUAUUUCA